CGGAGGUUGGGGGGGCGGGAUGGUCAGCAGGACGGCCAGUGGCUACAGUCACAGUUCAGCCCCCAACUCUGCAGUUUGCUCUGAGUGCUUUAGUGCCGCCGCCAGGAAUGCGUCCCUUUAAUUCACUCCCUCAUUCCUUCCUUCUGGCAUCCACCCAUCCAUUCACUCUUCAACACGUAUUUACUGAGCACCUGUGUGGCAGGCCCAGUGCUAGACUCCGGGGAGAUAACGGAGAACAAAAGCAGCCACACCCCUGCCCUGUGGAAACCCCAGUCUGAGCCAACUGAGAUGGGACCACGGCAAGAGCCCUGGGGACAGGUGUCCCUUCCACCAGGGACAAGUGACCUGCUCAAGGAGGGCUCAGGAGACACCUGAGUGUCCCCAGCACCCGGCCCAGGCUGUGGGGCAUGGCACAUUCUGCAUGGACACCUGUUGCUGACAUGUAAUAAUAAUAAUAAUUAAUAUGUCAUAAAGAGCAGUGGGAGUCAAGGCUCAGGACCCACAGAUUCUAGGAAGCUCCCAGGAGCCCUAAAGACAGAUGUCGUGAUCCUCAUCAUUCCUAAGGAGGAAGAGUCAGAGAGGCUAUGGUCUCGGGCCCAAGUUCAAGGUCCCAGUGGAGUCAUUGUUGGUGGAAGGAUCUGAACCCACCAAUCGGCCAGCUCUGUAUGAGAAGACAAGGACCUUUCUCCAUGAUCCUUUCGUCCCUGUAGCCCAGCCUACAGCAGAAAGAUGGGGCUGCACCCCUGCCGUGGGCUGAGGCUGGGAAGGAACGCGGACGGGGAGGAGGACCCAGGCAGCACCUCCCCGCGGACCAGAACUCGAACCCACAGCUCUGGACUUAGCCGGGGGCUCUGGCGCUCGCCUCCGCCUCCGAGCGGAUGUGCCGGAUAUUUGUUGCCCUAAGUUCCUGAAUCACCUCCUGAGAAAUGCAUUGUGGUGGGCGUGUGUGUUCCUCUGGGGACUCCGUGCUUGGGCUUAAAGCAUUUAGGAAAUCAAUAAAAUAAAUACUCUCUAAGCCUCAGGCCACUGGCGUCAGGUCCCUGCCUUUUCACGGGGGCCCUCUCCUCCGGUCAGCAAACCCUGCGUCUGCACUCUCCAAGGAGGGCCGUGCCCAGAGUCUCUUUUUGUUCAGGAAAAGUUCUGCUUUUCCCUGAGACUGAAACAAAGCAUGAAACCGCCUCCCUUUGACCAGGCUGUUUAGCUGCUUUUGUAGGGGGCCUGGAUCCCAGAGGAGAGAAACGAGCUCAGAUGGGGGAGGCCUGUCUCGCGCUGUCUCCUCCUUAAAACCAAAACGACAUCGUCCCCGAUUACAUUACAGUGAAAAAAUGACUGGUGCACGGUUUUCUGCCAUUAAAUUAUUUCACACGUACCAUUUAGUUGGCUGACUGGGGGCCAAAGGCAUUUAAAAACUCUGCUCUCAGCCAAAUGAUCAAGUGUUCCCACCGCCCUCCCCUGUGCCUAUGGUUUUUCUUAUUCCGUGUAAUUUAAGGGUCUAAAUAGUCUGGAGGGAAUUAACUGCAGAUUCUUCCUAAGACAAAUAAACUCAGCCUCUUC
rnacentral:lncRNA from 1 species